rnacentral:rRNA from 1 species
UACGUAGGGUGCGAGCGUUGCCCGGAUUUAUUGGGCGUAAAGGGCGCGUAGGCGGCUCGGCACGUCCGUUGUGAAAUCGCCCGGCUCAACUGGGCGGGGUCAGCGGAUACGGUCGAGCUUGAGCAAGCUAGGGGGCAAUGGAAUUCCCGGUGUAGUGGUGGAAUGCGUAGAUAUCGGGAGGAACACCAGUGGAGAAGGCGGUUGCCUGGGGCUUUGCUGACGCUGAUGCGCGAAAGCGUGGGGAGCGAUCCGG